CUGAUGAAGCUCUGUGUAGUUCAAAUACUGAGUGUUUAUCUUUACAGGUUGUGUGUUGUCUGGUGUUGACAGGAUUUUGUCAAGUGUUUUCAGGUGUUGUCAGGUGUUGACAGGUAUUGGAAGGUAUUGGAAGGUGUUGGCAGGUAUUGGAAGGUGUUGGCAGGUAUUGGAAGGUGUUGACAGGUGUUGACAGGUGUUGGCAGGUAUUGGAAGGUGUUGGAAGGUGUUGACAUGUAUUGGAAGGUGUUGACAGGUGUUGACAGGUGUUGGCAGGUGUUGGAAGGUAUUGGAAGGUAUUGGAAGGUGUUGGAAGGUGUUGACAUGUAUUGGAAGGUGUUGACAGGUGUUGACAGGUGUUGGCAGGUAUUGGAAGGUGUUGACAUGUGUCAUUUAGUGUUUUCAGGUGUUGUCAGGUGUUGGCAUGUAUUGGAAGGUGUUGACAGGUGUUGACAGGUGUUGGCAGGUAUUGGAAGGUGUUGACAGGUGUUGACAGGUGUUGACAGGUGUUGGCAGGUAUUGGAAGGUAUUGGAAGGUGUUGACAGGUGUUGACAGGUGUUGGCAGGUGUUGGAAGGUGUUGACAUGUAUUGGAAGGUGUUGACAGGUGUUGACAGGUGUUGACAGGUGUUGGCAGGUAUUGGAAGGUGUUGACAGGUGUUGACAUGUGUUGGCAGGUAUUGGAAGCUGUUGACAUGCGUCAUUCAGUGUUUUCAGGUGUUGUCAGGUGUUGACAGGUGUUGGCAGGUAUUGGAAGGUGUUGACAUGUAUUGGAAGGUGUUGACAUGUAUUGGAAGGUAUUGGCAGGUAUUGGAAGGUGUUGACAUGUGUCAUUCAGUGUUGUCAGGUGUUGACAGGUGUUGACAGGUGUUGGCAGGUAUUAGAAGGUGUUGACAGGUGUCAUUCAGUGUUGUCAGGUGUU